AUUGAACGCUGGCGGCAGGCUUAACACAUGCAAGUCGAGCGGAGAUGAGGUGCUUGCACCUUAUCUUAGCGGCGGACGGGUGAGUAAUGCUUAGGAAUCUGCCUAUUAGUGGGGGACAACAUUCCGAAAGGAAUGCUAAUACCGCAUACGUCCUACGGGAGAAAGCAGGGGAUCUUCGGGCCUUGCGCUACUAGAUGAGCCUAAGUCGGAUUAGCUAGUUGGUGGGGUAAAGGCCUACCAAGGCGACGAUCUGUAGCGGGUCUGAGAGGAUGAUCCGCCACACUGGGACUGAGACACGGCCCAGACUCCUACGGGAGGCAGCAGUGGGGAAUAUUGGACAAUGGGGGGAACCCUGAUCCAGCCAUGCCGCGUGUGUGAAGAAGGCCUUAUGGUUGUAAAGCACUUUAAGCGAGGAGGAGGCUACUGAGACUAAUACUCUUGGAUAGUGGACGUUACUCGCAGAAUAAGCACCGGCUAACUCUGUGCCAGCCGCCGCAGUAAGAC
rnacentral:rRNA from 1 species